AAACCUCAACUCCAAGUUUGGUUAAUCCAAGCUUGGAUGUUGGAUGUGGGCGUUUGUCAGUGAUGAAUUGACUCGCCUUAAAAUUGUAAGCUGGAUUAGUCUUUGCACUGGUUCCCCUAGGCGUAAUAAGUAUUUCGCUUAGGACACAAGUUCGCUUGUGGCCAGGACUCUGACAAUAGUCUGCUUUCUAUACCCAUACACACUUGUGUGUAUAAUUCUUGAC
rnacentral:misc_RNA from 1 species